CUGUGGAGACUGAGUUGUUUCUUAGCUUCCCAAACAGCUGGAAGCAAGACUGUUUGUGGCUUGUCUCCUAUGGUGGCAUUGACUCAGGGCUGUGUGUCUUCCAUCUCUACAGCAAUGUAGGAGAUGGCUUAGAGGAUAAAUUCCAAGAUGGUGAGAUAAUGACUGGACAGAAACUUCAUUUCAGGCCUUUUAUUGAGAGGUUCCCGGUAGGCUGUAAGAGCCCUGUGUAAAGCCUGUUCUUUCUCAAAUUGCCCAAUAGCUGGAAGCUAGACGCUUUGUGGCCUGUCUCCCCUUGAGGAAACCAGGCAGGACAUUGUGCCCCGCACGUCUAGGGCAAUGUAGGACACGGCAGAGAAGAAGUUCUACUUCAGCGAGAUCAGGGCUGGAAAGACACUGGGUUUCACAGGCCUUUGUAAGACAUGUUCCUGGUAGGCUGUAAGAGCACUGUGGAGAGCAAGUUGUUUCUUAGCUUCCCAAAGAGCUGGAAGCCAGAUCGUUUGUGGCUUGUCUCCUUUGCUGGCAAUGAAUCAGCGAUUUGUCACUUCCACCUCUAGAGCAAUGUAGGAUAUGGCUUUGAGCAGAAGUUCCUAGGUGGCGAGAUCUGGGCUGGUAACAAACUGUGUUUCAGGUCUUUGUAUGAGAGGUACCCAAUAGGGUGUAAGAGCCCAGGGGAAAGCAAGUUCUUUAUCACAUUGUGAAAGACCUGGAAGCAAGAUGGACUGUGGCCUGAGUCCUCUUUAGAAAGCCAGGCAGGGCUUUGUGACUUCCUCUUCUAGGGCAAUGUAUUACAUGGCAGAGCAGAAGCUCUACUUCAGCGAUAUCAGGGCUGCGAAGAAACUGCAUUUCACAGGCAUUUGUGAGAAAUGUUCCUGCUAGGAUGUAAGAGCCCAGUGGAGAGCGAGUUGUUUCUUAGCUUCCCAAGGAGCUGGAAGCAAGACGCUUUGUGUCCUGUCUCCCCUUGGGGCAACAAGGCAGGACAUUGUGCCUUGCACCUCUAGGGCAAUGUAGAACCCGGCAGAGCAGAAGUUCUACUUCAGCGAGAUCAGGGCUGGGAAGAAAUGGCCUUGCACAGGCUUUUGUGAGAGAUGUUCCUGCUAGGCAGUAAGAGCACUGUGGAGAGCGAGUUGUUUCUUAGCUUCCAAAAGAGCUGGAAGCAAGACCGUUUGUGGCUUGUCUCCUGUGGCGGCAAUGACUCAGUGCUUUGUGUCUUCCAUCUCUAGAGCAAUGUGGGACACGGCUGAGAGCUGAAGUUCCAAGGCGGUGGGUUUAUGGCUGGAAACAAACUGCAUUUCAGGCCUUUGUAUGUGAGGUUCACGGUAGGCUGUAAGAGCCCCGUGGAAAGCGAAUUCUUUCUCACCAUGCCAAAGAGCUGGAUGGGAGACGGUCUGUGGCCUGUCUCCUCUUAAGGAAGUCAGGCAGGCCAUUGUGACUUCCACCUCUAGGGAAAUGUAUUACAUGGCACAGCAGAAGUUCUACUUCAGGGAGAUCAGGACCUGGAAGAAACUGUGUUUCACAGGCCUUUGUAAUAUAUUUUCCCAGUAGGCUUUAAGAGCACUGUGGAGAGCGAGUUGUUUCUUAGCUUCCCAAAGAGCUGGAAGCAAGACUGUUUGUCACUUGUCUGCUUUGAAGGCAAUGACUCAUAGCAUUGUCACUUCCACCUCUAGAGCAAUGUAGGACAUGGCUUCGAGUAGAAGUUCCAAGUGGGUGAGAAAUGGGCUGGAAACAAACUGCAUUUCAGAUCGUUGUAUCAGAAGUUCCCGAAGGCUGUUAGAGCCCAGGGAAAGCGAGUUCUUUCUCACCUUGCGAAAGAGCUGGAAGCAAGAAGGUCUGUGGCCUGUCUCAACUUAAGGAAGUCAGGCAGGGCUUUGUGACAUCCACUUCUAGGCCAAUGUAUUACACCGCAAAGUAGAAGUUCUACUUCAGCGAGAUCAGGGCUGGGAAGAAACUGCGUUUCACAGGCCAUUGUAAGAGAUGUUCUGAGUAGGCUUUAAGAGCACUGUGGAGAGCGAGCUGUUUCUUAGCUUCUAAAAGAGCUGGAAGUGAGGCCAUUUGUGUCUUGUCUCCUUUGGAGGCAACGACUAAUAGCUUUGUCAUUCUACCUCUAGAGCAAUGUAGGUAAUGGCUUCGAGUAGAAGUUCCAAGUCGGCGAGAACUUGGCUGGAAACAAACUGCAUUUCAGGUCUUUGUAUCAGAAGUUCCCGAUAGGCUGUAAGAUCCCAGGGGAUAGCGAGUUCUUUCAAACCUUGUGAAAGAGCUGGAAGCAUGAAGGUCUGUGGCCCGUCUCCUCUUAAGGAAGCCACGCAGGGCUUUGUGACUUCCCCCUCUAGGCCAAUUUAUUACAUGGCAGAGCAGAAGUUCUACUUCAGCGAGAUCAGGGCUGGAAACAAACUGCAUUUCAGCUCUUUGUAUGAGAGAUUCCCAGUAGGCUGAAAGAGUCCAGGGGCAAGCGAGAUCUUUCUCACCAUGGGAAAGAGCUGGAAGCAAGACGGUCUGUGACCUGUCUCCCUUUGAUGAAAGAAGGCAGGACUUUGUGCCGUGCACAUCUAAGGCAAUGUAGCACAUGGCAGAGCAGAAGUUCUCCUUCAGUGAGAUCAGGGUUGGGAAGAAACUGUGCUUCACAGGCCUUUGUAAGAGAUGUUGCCGGUAGGCAGCAAGAGCACUGUCGAGAGCGAUUUGUUUCAUAAAUUCCCAAAGAGCUGGAAGCAAGAGGCUUUGUGGCCUGUCUCCUCUUGAGGAAACAUGGCAGGACUUGUGCCAUGCACAUCUAAGCCAAUGUAGCGCACGGCAGAGCAGAAGUUCGACUUCAGCGAGAUCUGGGCUGGGAAUAAACUGCGUUUUACAGGCCUUUGUAAGAGAUGUUACUGGUAGGCUGUCAGAGCACUGCGGAGAGCAAGUUAUUUCUUAGCUUUCCAAAGAGCUGGAAGCAAGAUGCUUUGUGGAGCUUGUCCGCUUGAGGAAAGAGGGCAGGACUUUGUGCCUUGCACCUAUAGGGGAAUGUAGGACACGGUAGAGCGGAAGUUCUACUUCAGCGAACUCAGGGCUGGAAAGAAACUUCGUUUCAAGGGCCUUUGUGAGAGAUGUUCCCGGGAGGCUGUAACAGCACUGUGGAGAGCGAGUUGUUUCUUAGCUUAUAAAAGAGCUGGAAGCAAGACGAUUUGUGGCCUGUCUGCCCUUGAGGAAACAAGGCAGGACUUUAUGCAUUGCACCUCUAAGGCAAUCUAGGAUACGAUGCAGCAGAAGUUCUACUUCAGCGAGAUCAGGGCUGGAAAGAAACUGCGUUUCACGGGCCUUUGUAAGAGAUGUUCCCGGUAGGCUAUAAGAGCACUGGGAAGAGUGAGCUGUUUCGAAGCUUCCCAAAGAGCUGGAACCAAGAGCAUUUGUGUCUUGUCUCCUUUGGUGGCAAUGACUCAGUGCUUUAUGUCUUCCACCUCUAGAGCAAUGUCGGUCAUGGCUUAGUGCAUAACUUUCAAGGUGUUGAAAUCACGGCUAGAAACAAACUGAAUUUUAGGCCUUUGUAUCAG
rnacentral:lncRNA from 1 species